rnacentral:rRNA from 1 species
UACGUAGGUGGCAAGCGUUGUCCGGAUUUACUGGGCGUAAAGCGUGCGCAGGCGGUUUUGUAAGCCAGAUGUGAAAGCCCCGGGCUCAACCUGGGAAUGGCAUUUGGGACUGCAAGGCUUGAGUGCGGCAGAGGAGACUGGAAUUCCUGGUGUAGCAGUGAAAUGCGUAGAUAUCAGGAGGAAUACCGAUGGCGAAGGCAGGUCUCUGGGCUGACACUGACGCUCAUGCACGAAAGCGUGGGGAGCAAACGGG